rnacentral:rRNA from 1 species
UACGGAGGAUGCAAGCGUUAUCCGGAAUGAUUGGGCGUAAAGCGUCCGCAGGUGGCUGUGUAAGUCUGCUGUCAAAGAGCGAAGCUCAACUUCGUAAAGGCAGUGGAAACUACACGGCUAGAGUGCGUUCGGGGCAGAGGGAAUUCCUGGUGUAGCGGUGAAAUGCGCAGAUUAUCAGGAAGAACACCCCGUGGCGAAGGCG